rnacentral:sRNA from 1 species
GGGGGUGUCACGGUUUCGACGGGGGCAGUGAGGCAAAGAUCGCGUGUCGCCGGGCCCGACAACGGCGUCAAAAAGAGUUGGGAACUGUAAGUGCGAACGACAGCACCUACGCUGUUGCGGCCUGAAUAGGACCAAAACAGCCGUCGAAGCGGAGAGCUUGCCAGUGCUCCCGUGGAGGCGUCAUCGAACUGGCUGGCGAUGCCCGAGCGACCGCGGGCUGAGCGAGACUUAGGUCGAUAGCGUGACGGAGAGUUUGCUCGUGGGCGCUCCGGCACGCGAUUCAACACACGAGCUACACACGUAGAAGUCGGCGCGGAGCGCCUUCGGACGCGGGUUCGACUCCCGCCACCUCCAA